UAGGGAAUUUUCCACAAUGGACGAAAGUCUGAUGGAGCAACGCCGCGUGCAGGAUGAAGGCCUUCGGGUUGUAAACUGCUUUUGUGAGUGAAGACUUCCGACGGUAACUCACGAAUAAGGAUCGGCUAACUACGUGCCAGCAGCCGCGGUCAUACGUAGGAUCCAAGCGUUAUCCGGAAUUACUGGGCGUAAAGAGUUGCGUAGGUGGCAGAGUAAGUAAGAAGUGAAAGCGUUCGGCUCAACCGGAUAGACAUUUCUUAAACUGCUCAGCUAGAGAACGAGAGAGGUAGAUGGAAUUCCCAGUGUAGGAGUGAAAUCCGUAGAUAUUGGGAGGAACACCGAUGGCGUAGGCAGUCUACUGGCUCGUUUCUGACACUAAGGCACGAAAGCGUGGGGAGCA
rnacentral:rRNA from 1 species